UGCAAGUCGAACGAACUCUGGUAUUGAUUGGUGCUUGCAUCAUGAUUUACAUUUGAGUGAGUGGCGAACUGGUGAGUAACACGUGGGAAACCUGCCCAGAAGCGGGGGAUAACACCUGGAAACAGAUGCUAAUACCGCAUAACAACUUGGACCGCAUGGUCCGAGCUUGAAAGAUGGCUUCGGCUAUCACUUUUGGAUGGUCCCGCGGCGUAUUAGCUAGAUGGUGGGGUAACGGCUCACCAUGGCAAUGAUACGUAGCCGACCUGAGAGGGUAAUCGGCCACAUUGGGACUGAGACACGGCCCAAACUCCUACGGGAGGCAGCAGUAGGGAAUCUUCCACAAUGGACGAAAGUCUGAUGGAGCAACGCCGCGUGAGUGAAGAAGGGUUUCGGCUCGUAAAACUCUGUUGUUAAAGAAGAACAUAUCUGAGAGUAACUGUUCAGGUAUUGACGGUAUUUAACCAGAAAGCCACGGCUAACUACGUGCCAGCAGCCGCGGUAAUACGUAGGUGGCAAGCGUUGUCCGGAUUUAUUGGGCGUAAAGCGAGCGCAGGCGGUUUUUUAAGUCUGAUGUGAAAGCCUUCGGCUCAACCGAAGAAGUGCAUCGGAAACUGGGAAACUUGAGUGCAGAAGAGGACAGUGGAACUCCAUGUGUAGCGGUGAAAUGCGUAGAUAUAUGGAAGAACACCAGUGGCGAAAGCGGCUGUCUGGUCUGUAACUGA
rnacentral:rRNA from 2 species